UUCAAUCCGUCACAUCAUUGUUUUCAGCAAUAGUACUAUCUUCAACUGUCGAGAUCUCAGCCUCAUUCUGUUUUACAUGCUUUGACAGUCCUUUGAGAUCAGAUAGACAAGUUUCUUAGCUCCAUGAUGAAAACAUGUCAUUGUUACUUUCCUUUUUCUCUUUUUCCUGUGCAAUCAUACAAUAAAAACAAAUGUGAGGGCAAGCGUGUUGCUGAGACCUUGAUGUUUGACUAUCAUCGGCAACAUGGGAUAGCUUCUGGGCACAGUUUUUACUGCCUAUGCUUUCUGUUUUCAAAAAAGGCUCAGGGAGAUUUUCCUUAAGCAGGAUAAUCUUAUCCAAGGCCGUUUCCUUGCUGAGCUGACAAAGCAAGUGUUUUCUGAUCUUUCUGCCAGUAAAUAUCAGAUGGCUGAGCACAGAAUAUCAAAAUAUGGCAAGAAGCAAAGUGAGUGGGACCAAAUGGCUAGUUGGAUAGUGAACAAUGAAUUGUACAGUGAGAAUGUUGUAUGGUUGAUACAGGUAAAUGCAAGAUUACCUUUCAGAAAUAGGUCAUAUGAAUUUGGGGGUUCUAGUAACAAUGUUAGAUUUAGGGUUUAGGAUUCUGUAAAAACUUGAAUUCUUAUUAUGCAAUUUUUGUCUUCUUUCA